GGCGGGGUAGCUCAGCUGGUUAGAGCGCACGACUCAUAAUCGUGAGGUCGCGGGAUCGAGUCCCGCCCCCGCUACCA
rnacentral:tRNA from 3 species